UACGUAGGGUGCGAGCGUUAAUCGGAAUUACUGGGCGUAAAGGGUGCGCAGGCGGUUAUAUAAGACAGAUGUGAAAUCCCCGGGCUCAACCUGGGAACUGCGUUUGUGACUGUAUGACUAGAGUACGGUAGAGAGGGGUGGAAUUCCUGGUGUAGCAGUGAAAUGCGUAGAUAUCAGGAGGAACACCGGUGGCGAAGGCGGUUCUCUGGGCCUUACCUGACGCUGAGGAGCGAAAGCGUGGGGAGCGAACAGG
rnacentral:rRNA from 1 species